AACGAACGCUGGCGGCAUGCCUAACACAUGCAAGUCGAACGAGACCUUCGGGUCUAGUGGCGCACGGGUGCGUAACGCGUGGGAACCUGCCUUUAGGUUCGGAAUAACUCAGAGAAAUUUGAGCUAAUACCGGAUAAAUGUCUUCGGACCAAAGAUUUAUCGCCUUUAGAUGGGCCCGCGUUGGAUUAGCUAGUUGGUGGGGUAAAGGCCUACCAAGGCGACGAUCCAUAGCUGGUCUGAGAGGAUGAUCAGCCACACUGGGACUGAGACACGGCCCAGACUCCUACGGGAGGCAGCAGUGGGAAUAUUGGACAAUGGGCGAAAGCCUGAUCCAGCAAUGCCGCGUGAGUG
rnacentral:rRNA from 1 species